GGUGAAAGCUGCGGUGGUCAAUGGAACAUUAGUGGUACAUGCUCCAGCGGACUGACUUGUGUCGUAGACCCAAAUGAACCUUUGGGCAACCAGGCUACUGGAACAUGUGUAUGUCCUCCAGACAGUAGUUGGAACAGCUGUGGGACGGCGUGUCCGAAAACAUGUGAUGGCCGUCCGUUCGCCUGCGCCGCGGUCUGUGUCCCCCGAUGCGAAUGUUAUCCCUGGUACGUGCUGGACAACGGCAACUGCAUACCAGAGGGCUUAUGCAGCAGCGGCAAUGAUUGUAACUAUGAAGGCCAGCAUUAUAACGAUGGGGAUGAGUGGGCCGUACGGGACUCGCCAGGGUUAGUUUGCCAGUGUGACGGUACACAGGUGGUCUGCUAUGUUGUUGACUGCGCUCCUGUCUACAGUCAUGUCAUCGGGAGCAACGGACUGUGGACAUGCUGGCGACAACGUUUGUAUAUAUACAG